AGUGAACGCUGGCGGUAUGCCUAACACAUGCAAGUCGAACGGCAGCACAGUAAGAGCUUGCUCUUACGGGUGGCGAGUGGCGGACGGGUGAGGAAUACAUCGGAAUCUACUUUUUCGUGGGGGAUAACGUAGGGAAACUUACGCUAAUACCUCAUACGACCUAAGGGUGAAAGCAGGGGAUCUUCGUACCUUUCGCGCUUUAAUGAGCCGAUGUCGGAUUAGCUAGUUGGCGGGGUAAAGGCCCACCAAGGCGACGAUCCGUAGCUGGUCUGAGAGGAUGAUGACCAACACUGGAACUGAGCAACGGUCCAGACUCCUCCGGGAGGAAGCAGUGGGGAAUAUUGGAAAAUGGGCGCAAGCCUGAUCCAGCCAUACCGCGUGGGUGAAGAAGGCCUUCGGGUUUUAAAGCCCUUUUGUUGGGAAAGAAAAGCAGCAGGUUAAUAACCCGCUGUUCUGACGGUACCCAAAGAAUAAGCACCGGCUAACUUCGUG
rnacentral:rRNA from 1 species